rnacentral:rRNA from 1 species
ACGCUAGCGGCAGGCCUAACACAUGCAAGUCGAACGGUAACAUGAGAGCUUGCUCUUGAUGACGAGUGGCGCACGGGUGCGUAACGCGUAUGCAAUCUACCUAUAACUGAGGAAUAGCCCAGAGAAAUUUGGAUUAAUACCUCAUAAUAAUAUUUUUUGGCAUCAUUUAAUAUUUAAAACUCCGGUGGUUAUAGAUGAGCAUGCGUUCUAUUAGUUAGUUGGUGAGGUAAGAGCUCACCAAGACUUCGAUAGAUAGGGGGCCUGAAAGGGUGAUCCCCCACACUGGUACUGAGACACGGACCAGACUCCUACGGGAGGCAGCAGUGAGGAAUAUUGCACAAUGGAGGAAACUCUGAUGCAGCCAUGCCGCGUGCAGGACGAAUGCCCUAUGGGUUGUAAACUGCUUUUUUACAAGAAGAAACCUUGGUACGUGUACCAACUUGACGGUAUUGUAAGAAUAAGCACCGGCUAACUCCGUGCCAGCAGCCGCGGUAAUACGGAGGGUGCAAGCGUUAUCCGGAUUUAUUAGGUUUAAAGGGUUCGCAGGCGGAAUUUUAAGUCAGUGGUGAAAGCCUAUAGCUCAACUAUAGAACUGCCACUGAUACUGAUAUUCUUGAGUAUAGAUGAAGUGGGCGGAAUAUGUCAUGUAGCGGUGAAAUGCAUAGAUAUGACAUGGAACACCAAUUGCGAAGGCAGCUCACUGAACUAUUACUGACGCUCAUGAACGAAAGCAUGGGGAGCGAACAGGAUUAGAUACCCUGGUAGUCCAUGCUGUAAACUAUGAUCACUAGAUGUUGGCGAUAUACUGUCAGUGUUUAAGAGAAAUCGUUAAGUGAUCCACCUGGGGAGUACGUUCGCAAGAAUGAAACUC